GCCUGAUUAUCCUUGAGUAGAUUGCGGCAUUAAAAAUACACAGUAUAUCUAACCACUUGGAAUAAAAAAAUAGCAAGCUAUAUCGUAUUAAGUUGUCGAAAUUCAAGAUUAAUUUGCUUUAGACUAAGUAGGGGUAAAACUUUGGGUUUGUUCGGAAAAAAUCUCUUUUGACAAGUGUGUGGACUUAAAAGUAAAUGAGGUAAAAGUUUGGGUUUACGGAUAAUAUUUUUUUAUUUUAGAAAAUCGCUAUUUUCCACUGUACAAAAGAAGCAUCUCCGUAAUUUUGCUCGCCCAAAGUUUUGGGAGGUUAUCUGAGAAUCAUCCAAGGGGUUUACUCCGAUAUCUCUGACGCCGGCGAAACCAAAACCACUGGCUCUCAUCGACGGCGUUUUCUGAUUUCUAGGGUUGCUGAAUUUAGGGUUUGAUGGAUGAGGGAUUCAGGUUGCAGGGCCACCGAGUUUUCUAAUCAACAAAUGCUGUGGGGUUUCUGGGAGAGCAGGAGAGGAGAAGUAAGAAUCGGAUCUUUCUGCUGGCCAUAAAGUUUCAAGCUUCGAGUACUUGCGAGGCCCGCCUUACCACAUGCACGAACCAUAUGCCGCAUUACUUGUGUCACAUAUUAAUUAUUCCAUUAUGUGGAACUCAUGUAAUGUGGCUCCUUUUAUUUAGAGCUUAUAAUUAUCUCAUUUGAAAAUAUGUACAAUAAUAGUAUACUAAUUAGUCUCGUGCAUAACACUAACUAGUGAUAAUAAUAUUGUUAACACAUGCAAAUUUAUAUUGCUAUAAUGUCAACUUCCAAAUGAGACGUUCACGUACAAGCUAUUGUUAUUUUUAAUCUUUUUUUAGUUCUAGAUAGUUUGAGAUCAUUAGCAAUAUAUUAUCCUAUGUAUAUCCCAAACUUAAUUUUAUCCCAAACUUAAUUUUAUCUUCCUCAAACGAAAAAGAGAUGGAGUACCGGAGUGCAGCACUGCGAGGAGGAUACCUCUUCAUGCAGAGGUAUCCCGGGGUUCUCCUAGCAAUACUUUCCGCUCUCCUUGUUUCCCUCCUCCUUCGCUGCACGGCUCAACGUGCCAGCAAGGUCUUUGUUAACUGGCCGGUGGCCGGUAUGCUCCCUAUGGUGAUCACUAGCAGCCAUCGCCUCCUCGACCACGUGGCUUCCAUGCCUCAGGAGUUUGAUAACACCCUCAUGUUCAGAGGCCCAUGGUUUUGCGGGAUGGACAUCCUGCUUACUUGCAGCCCUGAGAGUGCCAACCAAGUGUUCAACCUUCACUUCUCCAACUAUCCGAAGGGCGAUGAGUUUCACGAAAUAUUCUACGUUCUUGGGGACAGCAUCAUCAAUGCCGAUGGCGACUCUUGGAGGGAGCAGAGAAGAAUGGCUCGGACACAUAUGAACACACUGAGGUUCCGUGACUAUGUAGGCGACUGCACCGUGAACAAGUUGUCUCCGAAUCUUCUUCCCCUGUAGAAGGAAUGAAGGAUGUGCCUGAAUUCGAUAAGGUGGUGGAUCUAAGUGAUCUGUUUGUGAGAUUUACAUUUGAUACCACAAGCGCUCUUGUUAACUGGUCGAUCCAGGUUGUCUUGCUCCUGAUUUUUUCCUAUGGUUCCGUUUGCGACAGCUAAAUCGGGCAGGUACUC